CACCACACCUGGAAAGAGCAUCUUAAAAUGAGUAAAAUUGCACAGUUUGGUUGCGAAAUGUUGUAAAAUGAGGAAAAUAUAGCUCUGUGAAGUUCGCAAAUUUUGUACAUAUUUGCAUUACGCGCGCGAAAAAUAACCAUUUUUGGGCGGAAAGUGGUUAUUUUUACCGCGCGUAACAAAUAUAUACAAAAUUUGCCAACUUCCCAGGGCUAUAUUUUCUUCAUUUUUCAAGAUUUCGCAACCAAACUUUGCAAUUUAUUCAUUUUAAGAUGCUUUUUCUAGCUGUGGUG